rnacentral:tRNA from 1 species
GUGGGCGUAGCUCAGUUGGUAGAGUACCGGAUUGUGGCUCCGGUUGUCGCGGGUUCAAGCCCCGUCGCUCACCCCA